rnacentral:tRNA from 1 species
AGUUCCGUAGUUCAAUGGUAGAACACCGCCUUGAUAAGGCGGAGUACAAGGUUCAAAUCCUCGUGGAACUACCA